rnacentral:rRNA from 1 species
GUGGAUUAGAUACCCGGGUAGUCCAUGCCGUAAACGUUGGGCACUAGGUGUGGGGGACAUUCCACGUUUUCCGCGCCGUAGCUAACGCAUUAAGUGCCCCGCCUGGGGAGUACGGCCGCAAGGCUAAAACUCAAAGGAAUUGACGGGGGCCCGCACAAGCGGCGGAGCAUGCGGAUUAAUUCGAUGCAACGCGAAGAACCUUACCAAGGCUUGACAUAUACCGGAUCGUUCCAGAGAUGGUUCUUCCCCUUUGGGGUCGGUAUACAGGUGGUGCACGGUCGUCGACAACU